rnacentral:rRNA from 1 species
GAUGAACGCUGGCGGCGUGCCUAAUACAUGCAAGUCGAGCGAACGGACGAGAAGCUUGCUUCUCUGUUGUUAGCGGCGGACGGGAGAGUAACACGUGGAUAGCCUACCUAUAAGACUGGGAUCACUACGGGAAACCGGAGCUAAUCCCGGAUAAUAUUUUGAACCGUAUGGUUCAAAAGUGAAAGACGGUCUUGCUGUCACUACUAGCUGGAUCCCCGCUGCAUUAGCUAGUUGGUAAGUUCACGGCUUAUCACGGCGACGAUGCAUAGCCGACGGGAGAGAGUGAUCGGCCACACGGGAAGUGGAACGCGGUCCAGACUCCUACGGGACGCAGCAGUAUGGAAUCGGCCGCAAUGGGGGAGAGCAUGACGGAGCAACGCCACGUGAGUUGUGAAGGCCUUCGGUGCGUAAAACUCUGUUAUGAGUGGAAAACAGAUGUGGAAGUAGCUGAAGAGAGCGUGACGGUACCUAGUCAGAAAGCCACGGCUAACUACGUG